UAUGUGAUCGUCUCUCGCAUAUCAAUAAGCGGAGGAAAAGAAACUAACAAGGAUUCCCCUAGUAACGGCGAGUGAAGCGGGAAGAGCUCAAAUUUGAAAUCUUAAAGGGUUUCCCUUUACGAAUUGUAGUUUAAAGAAGUGUUUUCUGUUGAGGUUUUGGUAAAAGUUCUUUGGAAUAGGACAUCAUAGAGGGUGAGAAUCCCGUAUUUGACCUUUACUUUCAACUUUGUGAUACACUUUCAAAGAGUCGGAUUGUUUGGGAAUGCAGUCCAAAAUGGGUGGUAAAUUUCAUCUAAAGCUAAAUAUUGGCGAGAGACCGAUAGCGAACAAGUACCGUGAGGGAAAGAUGAAAAGAACUUUGAAAAGAGAGUUAAACAGUACGUGAAAUUGUCAAAAGGGAAGCGUUUGACACCAGUGUUGUUUUUCUGAAAAUCAAUUAAAGAACUGUUUAUGCUAAGUUGUUUAGACUUUAUCAGCUAACUGUUUAGUUUUGAGCUUUUCUUUAAUGCACUUUUCAGUUAACAAGUCAACAUCAAUUUCUUUUGCUGUAAAAAAGCUUGAGGAAGGUGGCUUGAGAUUCGUCUUAAGUGUUUAUAGCCUCUUGCCUAUGCAGUCGGAGAGAUUGAGGUCUGCAGCGUAGAUCCUUCGGGGCUAAAUGCAUUUGUGCUAAGUUAUAGCAUUUUAUAGACAACUUGUUGACUAUGAUUUGUCUUGUAGCUUACUCGCUUAUGUUAUUUUACCUACGCUUAGGAUGUUGACACACGCGCGUGCUCGAUGAUAGUCUAUACAUGACUCUGUGCAUAUCAAUAAGCGGAGGAAAGAGGUCACUACCUACGCUUAGGAUGUUGACACACGCGCGUGCUCG
rnacentral:rRNA from 1 species